AGUGAACGCUGGCGGCAGGCCUAACACAUGCAAGUCGAGCGGCAGCGGGUUCCCGCGAGGGGAUGCCGGCGAGCGGCGGACGGGUGAGGAACACAUCGGAAUCUGCCUGGUUGUGGGGAUAACGUAGGGAAACUUACGCUAAUACCGCAUGCGACCCUGAGUCGACGGACUGGGGGUGAAAGUGAGGGACCUUCGGCCGUCACGCGACCAGAUGAGCCGAUGUCGGANAGUCUAGUUGGCGGGGUAACGGCCCGCCAAGGCGACGAUCCGUAGCUGGUCGUGAGAGGAUGAUCAGCCACACUGGG
rnacentral:rRNA from 1 species